UAUAGCCAUUAAUGUGCAAUCCAACUAUCAGCUUAGGCUUUUAGUUGAGAUGGAGCACAUGCUUCAAUUUGGGUGAAGAAUUUUUUGUAGCUCUUUGCUUGUUGGUGAAGACGUAACUCUUUGUUAGACUCUUUGUUAGGUCCCCACAGACGGCGCCAUUUGAUGGUAUUAAUUCCUACGUACUGUAAGUAUACAUGUGUGGAUGAAAUAUAGAAUCACUGUAGAAUGAAUAAAGAAGAUGAGAUAUAGUAAAGGGGUUCUUUUAUUCAUCUUGUUCUUUUCUUUGUAGAGAGAAGGGGGAGAGGUGUGUGUAGAGAGAGUAAUCCGAGAGAUUGAAUGGAGUCCUCUCUCUCUUAGAGGACCAAAAAGCCCUUUUAUAGGCCUAAGGUGGCGGGUUUGACCCGUCACCCUUGACUUUGACCCGUAGAUCGGAUCCCGAACCGCUCGACCCUGACCUGACUAUAAACGAACCCAUAGAUGUACAAGUGGUCGGUACCGGGGUAUAUAUCCUAUCACCCAGGAUAUUUCUCCAUUGAAGACUUGCAGAGCUAUUAGACUGCAAUUGGUGCGCACCUGGCCUAUAUGAAGUCCCAUAGAGAAAGGGGAGUGAUUCCAUAAAAUCUAGAGAGUGCAUGUUUCACGAUUAAGAGACUUUCAGAGCUAUUAGAUGGUGAUUGGUGUGCACCUAUAUAAAGUUCCAUAGAGAAAGAGGGAACUUCAUGAUCAUAUACCAAGGGAGCAUGUUGGGUCGUUGAGAUGUACUCCCCAUUGGAUAAGAUCAUUGCAGGGAAACCUUCUUAACUUAUUGAUUUUCUAAUUUUUAUUUGUUUAUAGGGACAACCAAUUGAAGGCUACAGUGUGAGAUCAACAUAUACCAAGAGUUGAAACCUUUUUUUAAGUCUGGCCUUGCAAAUCCUAUGGUUGUUCUUAUGCAAUUGUGUAGAGUUAAAGAAUGAUACGAGGAGUUAAUCUAAACACAAGUGUUUUAAUUUUUCUUUAUAUUUGAAAGUAUUUGAAUAAGGUUAAGUAAUGAAUGUUCUUUUUUAUUAGCCAGUUAUGUCAAGAUAUGUAACUCUUGAUACAUAACUCCUUUUCAAUCAGGAUUUUCAGAGUUUUGUGAUUUUUU